rnacentral:rRNA from 1 species
GAUGAACGCUGGCGGUGUGCUUAACACAUGCAAGUUGAACGAAGCACUUGAAACAGAUUCUUCGGAUGAAGUUUCCUGUGACUGAGUGGCGGACGGGUGAGUAACGCGUGGGUAACCUGCCUCAUACAGGGGGAUAACAGUUAGAAAUGGCUGCUAAUACCGCAUAAGCGCACGGUACUGCCUGGUACAGUGUGAAAAACUCCGGUGGUAUGAGAUGGACCCGCGUUGGAUUAGCUAGUUGGCAGGGUAACGGCCUACCAAGGCGACGAUCCAUAGCCGGCCUGGGAGGGUGGACGGCCACAUUGGGACUGAGACACGGCCCAGACUCCUACGGGAGGCAGCAGUGGGGAAUAUUGCACAAUGGGGGAAACCCUGAUGCAGCGACGCCGCGUGAGCGAAGAAGUAUUUCGGUAUGUAAAGCUCUAUCAGCAGGGAAGAAAAUGACGGUACCUGACUAAGAAGCCCCGGCUAACUACGUGCCAGCAGCCGCGGUAA